GCACUUUGUCCAUUUGGACAACCCGUUUAGUACGUGGAGCCACUCUGUGUCUAAUAGGGCUAUGCCACAGUCCUUUUCCCAUUGGGCUUUGUGUGGAUGUGGUUUUGUUGGCGUGAGUUCUUGCCAUGUUUUGUAACACAGUGUGAGUGUUUUAGGUUUGUUAGGUGAGGACCAACAUCUGUCAAUGAGCAACUGUGAGCCUUUUGAGUUGUGUGAGGUUGUCGCGUGUGCUUGUAGUACACUUUUAAUCUGUAGGUAGGAAAAGAUGGCUCGGCUUGGGAGUUGCCACUGUGCCUGUAGUGUUGGAAAGGGUGUUACUUUCCCU